rnacentral:rRNA from 1 species
GUACACGCUGUGACUAGCAUAUCAAUAAGCGGAGGAAAAGAAACUAACAAGGAUUCCCUUAGUAACGGCGAGUGAAGCGGGAAGAGCUCAAAUUUGAAAUCUUGCAAGGUUUACCUUUCACGAAUUGUAGUUUAAAGAAGUGUUUUCUGUUACGAUCGUAAUAUAAGUUCUUUGGAAUAGGACAUCACAGAGGGUGAGAAUCCCGUCUAUGAUUGCGAUUUGUAGCUUUGUGAUUACACUUUCAAAGAGUCGGGUUGUUUGGGAAUGCAGCCCAAAACGGGAGGUAAAUUUCUUCUAAGGCUAAAUAUUGGCGAGAGACCGAUAGCGAACAAGUACCGUGAGGGAAAGAUGAAAAGAACUUUGAAAAGAGAGUUAAAUAGUACGUGAAAUUGUCAAAAGGGAAGCGUUUAACACCAGUGUUGUUUUCUGAAAAUCAACCUCUGUUAGCUUUAUGCAUGUUUGUUUAGACCUAAUCAGCUAUCUUUCAUGUUCUAUUGUUUGCAGUGGUGCACUUUUCAGUUUACAGGGUCAACAUCAGUUUUUUUUUACCGUAAAAAAGUUAAAGAAAGGUAGCUCAUGGCUCCGGUCGUGAGUGUUAUAGUCUUUUUCCUAUGCGGUAGGAGAGACUGAGGUCUGCAGUGUAGGCUAUUUGGCUAGAUACUCAGGUGCUAUGUGAUACCAUUUCAUAAACAACUUGCUGAUUAUGUUUUGUCUAUUGCAUACUCGCUUGUACUAUCAUACCUACGCUUAGGAUGUUGAGUAGCGACAUACGCAC